UACAGAGGGUGCGAGCGUUGUCCGGAAUCACUGGGCGUAAAGGGCGCGUAGGUGGCGACCCAAGUCGAUGGUGAAAGCUCGCCGCUCAACGGCGAGUCGGCCACCGAUACUGGGUUGCUGGAGCACUGUAGAGGCUCAUGGAAUUCCGGGUGUAGCGGUGGAAUGCGUAGAGGAUCCGGAAGAACACCGGUGGCGAAGGCGGUGAGCUGGGCAGUUGCUGACACUGAGGCGCGACAGCGUGGGGAGCAAACAGGG
rnacentral:rRNA from 1 species